AGCAGCCGCGGUAAUUCCAGCUCCAAUAGCGUAUAUUAAAGUUGUUGCAGUUAAAAAGCUCGUAGUUGAAUUUCGGGAUCAAUUGAUUGGUCAUGCCUUGGUAUGUACGGGUCAUAUUGGUUCUCACCUUCUAAUGAACCAUAAUGUCAUUUAUUUGAUGUUAUGGGGAAUUAGGACUGUUACCUUGAAAAAAUUAGAGUGUUUAAAGCAGGCUUACGCUUGAAUACAUUAGCAUGGAAUAAUGAAAUAGGACAUCGUAUUCUAUUUUGUUGGUUUCUAGGAUCGAUGUAAUGAUUAAUAGGGAUAGUUGGGGGCAUUAGUAUUCAAUUGUCAGAGGUGAAAUUCUUGGAUUUAUUGAAGACUAACUACUGCGAAAGCAUUUGCCAAGGAUGUUUUCAUUAAUCAAGAACGAAAGUUAGGGGAUCGAAGACGAUCAGAUACCGUCGUAGUCUUAACCAUAAACUAUGCCGACUAGGGAUCGGAUGAUGUAAUUUUUAAAUGACUCAUUCGGCAACC
rnacentral:rRNA from 1 species